GAUGAACGCUGGCGGCGUGCUUAACACAUGCAAGCCGAACGAGACGAUUGAAAGCUUGCUUUCGAAAGUCGAGUGGCAAACGGGUGAGUAACGCGUAGACAACCUGCCUUUGAGAUGGGGACAACAGUUCGAAAGGACUGCUAAUACCGAAUGUUGUAUAUUUUCCACAUGGAAGAUAUAUUAAAGAUGGCCUCUAUUUAUAAGCUAUCGCUCAAAGAUGGGUCUGCGUCUGAUUAGCUAGUUGGUGGGGUAACGGCCUACCAAGGCGACGAUCAGUAGCCGGUCUGAGAGGAUGAACGGACACAUUGGGACUGAGACACGGCCCAGACUCCUACGGGAGGCAGCAGUGGGGAAUCUUCCACAAUGGACGAAAGUCUGAUGGAGCAACGCCGCGUGAGUGAAGAAGGGUUUCGGCUCGUAAAGCUCUGUUGUCGGGGACGAAUGUGCAUUACUUGAAUAAAGUAGUGUAAUGACGGUACCUGACGAGGAAGCCACGGCUAACUACGUGCCAGCAGCCGCGGUAA
rnacentral:rRNA from 1 species